rnacentral:rRNA from 1 species
AUAGGAUGAUCCGACCAAGACAGACAAAGGCGUAGGCACUUGCCAAGACCAUAUCAGUCGAACCAGGACGAAGCCCGGGGGCGAGAAGGCGAUUAGACACCACCGUAUUCCCGGGCGUAAACGAUGCCACCGAGAGACUGGCCAGGUCGUCAGGAUCGAAGGGAAACCGAUCAGGGUACGGGCUCUGGGGGGAGUAUGGCCGCAAGGCUGGAACUUGAAGGCAUUGACGGAGGGGUACCACCAGACGUGGAGUCUGCGGCUCAAUUUGACUCAACGCGAACACCUUACCAGGCCCAGACGUACGGAGGAUCGACGGUUGAGAGGACCUUCGUGAUCGUACGAGUGGUGGUGCAUGGCCGUUCACAGCCCGUGGCUUGAGCCGUCUGCUUGACUGCGACAACGAGCGAGACCCUAACCUGGAUGGGACCGCCAAUGGUGAAUUGGAGGAAGGUGGGGCGAUAACAGGUCUGUGAUGCCCUUAGACGCCCUGGGCUGCACGCGUACUACACUGUGGGGAUGAAACCACGUCGAGUUGUGAAGCUUGAUGAGAUCAAACCCCCACGUGGUUGGGAUCGUGGACUGGAACGUCCUCGUGAACCUGGAAUGUCUAGUAGGCGUAGGUCAUCAAUCUACGCCGGAUACGUCCCUGCCCCUUGUACACACCGCCCGUCGCUCCUACCGACUGGGUCUUCUGGCGAGCUCCUGGGAGGGAUGAACCGAACAGGGACGAACCGCGAGGCUUGGAGGAAGGAGAAGUCGUAACAAGGUAUCCGUAGGUGAACCUGCGGAUGGAUCCAUC